GUGGGGAAUUUUGGACAAUGGGCGCAAGCCUGAUCCAGCAAUGCCGCGUGUGUGAAGAAGGCCUUCGGGUUGUAAAGCACUUUUGGCAGGAAAGAAAUAGUGCGUGCUAAUACCAUGCGCGAAUGACGGUACCUGCAGAAUAAGCCCCGGCUAACUACGUGCCAGCAGCCGCGGUAAGACGUAGGGUGCAAGCGUUAAUCGGAAUUACUGGGCGUAAAGCGUGCGCAGGCGGUUUUGUAAGACAGGUGGAAAAACCCCGGGCUCAACCUGGGAACUGCAAUUGUAACUGCAAGGCUAGAGUGUGUCAGAGGGAGGUGGAAUUCCGCGUGUAGCAGUGAAAUGCGUAGAGAUGCGGAGGAACACCGAUGGCGAAGGCAGCCUCCUGGGAUAACACUGACGCUCAGGCACGAAAGCGUGGGGAGCAAACAGGAUUAGAAACCCCGGUAGUCC
rnacentral:rRNA from 1 species